UACGUAGGGUCCGAGCGUUGUCCGGAAUUAUUGGGCGUAAAGGGCUCGUAGGCGGUCCGUCACGUCGGGAGUGAAAACUCGGGGCUCAACCCCGAGCCUGCUUUCGAUACGGGCGGACUAGAGGUAGGUAGGGGGAGAACGGAAUUCCUGGUGUAGCGGUGGAAUGCGCAGAUAUCAGGAGGAACACCGGUGGCGAAGGCGGUUCUCUGGGCCUUACCUGACGCUGAGGAGCGAAAGCGUGGGGAGCGAACAGG
rnacentral:rRNA from 1 species